AUUGAACGCUGGCGGCAGGCCUAACACAUGCAAGUCGAACGAGUGGCGGACGGGUGAGUAAUGUCUGGGAAACUGCCUGAUGGAGGGGGAUCACUACUGGAAACGGUAGCUAAUACCGCAUAACAUCAGCGGUGCCCAGAUGUGAUUAGCUAGUGGGUGGGGGAACGGCUCACCAAGGCGACGAUCCCGCGCUGGUAUGAUAGGAGGACCAGCCACACUGGAACGGAUACACGGCCCAGACUCCUACGGGAGGCAGCAGUGGGGAAGAUUGCACAAUGGGCGCAAGCCUGAUGCAGCCAUGCCGCGUGUAUGAAGAAGGCCUUCGGGUUGUAAAGUACUUUCAGCGGGGAGGCGUUACCCGCAGAAGAAGCACCGGCUAACUCCGUGCCAGCAGCCGCGGUAAUAC
rnacentral:rRNA from 1 species